rnacentral:rRNA from 1 species
CCUACGGGAGGCAGCAGUGGGGAAUAUUGGACAAUGGGGGGAACCCUGAUCCAGCCAUGCCGCGUGUGUGAAGGAGGCCCUCGGUUUGUAAAGCACUUUCAGUGAGGAAGAACGCCUGGUGGUUAAUACCCAUUAGGAAAGACAUCACUCACAGAAGAAGCACCGGCUAACUCCGUGCCAGCAGCCGCGGUAAUACGGAGGGUGCGAGCGUUAAUCGGAAUUACUGGGCGUAAAGCGCGCGUAGGUGGCUUGAUAAGUCGGUUGUGAAAGCCCCGGGCUCAACCUGGGAACGGCAUCCGGAACUGUCAAGCUAGAGUGCAGGAGAGGAAGGUAGAAUUCCCGGUGUAGCGGUGAAAUGCGUAGAGAUCGGGAGGAAUACCAGUGGCGAAGGCGGCCUUCUGGACUGACACUGACACUGAGGUGCGAAAGCGUGGGUAGCAAACAGGAUUAGAUACCCGGGUAGUC